rnacentral:rRNA from 1 species
GACGAACGCUGGCGGCGUGCUUAACACAUGCAAGUCGAACGUGAUUUUUGUGGAAAUUCUUUCGGGAAUGGAAAUGAAAUGAAAGUGGCGAACGGGUGAGUAACACGUGAGCAACCUACCUUACACAGGGGGAUAGCCGUUGGAAACGACGAUCAAUACCGCAUGAGACCACAGAAUCGCAUGAUAUAGGGGUCAAAGAUUUAUCGGUGUAAGAAGGGCUCGCGUCUGAUUAGCUAGUUGGAAGGGUAAAGGCCUACCAAGGCGACGAUCAGUAGCCGGUCUGAGAGGAUGAACGGCCACAUUGGAACUGAGACACGGUCCAAACUCCUACGGGAGGCAGCAGUGGGGAAUAUUGCACAAUGGGGGGAACCCUGAUGCAGCGACGCCGCGUGAGCGAAGAAGGUUUUCGAAUCGUAAAGCUCUGUCCUAUGAGAAGAUAAUGACGGUAUCAUAGGAGAAGCCC